UACGUAGGGGGCUAGCGUUGUCCGGAAUCAUUGGGCGUAAAGCGCGUGUAGGCGGCCCGGUAAGUCCGCUGUGAAAGUCGGGGGCUCAACCCUCGGAUGCCGGUGGAUACUGUCGGGCUAGAGUGCGGAAGAGGCGAGUGGAAUUCCUGGUGUAGCGAUGAAAUGCGCAGAUAUCAGGAGGAACACCAAUUGCGAAGGCAGCUCGCUGGGACGUUACUGACGCUGAGACGCGAAAGCGUGGGGAGCAAACAGG
rnacentral:rRNA from 1 species